rnacentral:ncRNA from 1 species
AGAGUAGGGUAUGCGCGUCGGGGAUUCCUCCCCGGUAGUGCCACCGGAUGGGAGGUUGCCGGUGGACGAAUAGCCGUUUGGCUUGCGAUGCACGCCCGCCGCCGCU